rnacentral:lncRNA from 1 species
AUCUACUAUAAGUUCGUGAGGCUGUCUCAGACAUAAGCUCCUAACAGACUGUCCAAGGCAUAAGCUCCUGAUGGGCUGUUCCACAUAACGAGGUUAGUCCAAACCAUAACUUUUUUUUAUGAAAUUAUAAUACGUUGAUUUUAUUAAUCAACUUCAAUUUGCAGUAUGAUUAAGACAAAUAUAUCAUACCCAUAUAAUCAUAUCAUC